rnacentral:rRNA from 1 species
CCUACGGGAGGCAGCAGUAGGGAAUCUUCCGCAAUGGACGCAAGUCUGACGGAGCAACGCCGCGUGAGUGAUGAAGGUUUUCGGAUCGUAAAGCUCUGUUGCCAGGGAAGAAAGGUCAGGAGAGUAACUGCUCUUGGAUUGACGGUACCUGAGAAGAAAGCCCCGGCUAACUACAUGCCAGCAGCCGCGGUAAU